GUUGAAGGCGAGUAACGUCGGUGCGAUAUAUAUUCCGGUUCUAUAAAAGGUUGUCAAAAUACAAAGGAUAGCAACAAACUAUCCAGCACGAUAGAUACUUCGUACAGUUCGGUCAGCUGGGCUGUAAUUACCGGAAGGAAGUUUUCAGAAGUUGCAAUCAUCUUUCCUGAAUUUUCUGCGUUUGAUCAUCUUCUCCAAUGGUCACCUAUUUCUGUGAGCUCAGAUUUUUCUAUUACAAGUCGGUGAAAAUUGGAUAUGGCACAAUAGUUGAAGAAUAAUACCUGUCAACAUUUAUUGACAAAAUACAACAAUACUAAGUCCGCAUGAAUUAUGAUAUAUUAAAAAGUAAAAUAACA